AGAGUUUGAUCCUGGCUCAGGAUGAACGCUAGCGGCAGGCUUAACACAUGCAAGUCGAGGGGUAUAGGUUUUCGGACCUAGAGACCGGCGCACGGGUGCGUAACGCGUAUGCAAUCUACCUUUUGCAGAGGGAUAGCCCAGAGAAAUUUGGAUUAAUACCUCAUAGUAUUAUAGGAUGGCAUCAUUUUAUAAUUAAAGUCACAACGGCAAAAGAUGAGCAUGCGUCCCAUUAGCUAGAUGGUAAGGUAACGGCUUACCAUGGCUACGAUGGGUAGGGGUCCUGAGAGGAUGAUCAGCCACACUGGAACUGAGAUACGGUCCAGACUCCUACGGGAGGCAGCAGUGAGGAAUCUUGCGCAAUGGGGGCAACCCUGACGCAGCAACGCCGCGUGAGUGAGGAAGGUCUUCGGAUCGUAAAGCUCUGUCAGUUGGGAAGAAAUGCCUGUUGGUUAAUACCCUUCAGGCUUGACGGUACCAACAGAGGAAGCACCGGCUAACUCCGUGCCAGCAGCCGCGGUAAUACGGGGGGUGCAAGCGUUGUUCGGAUUUAUUGGGCGUAAAGCGCGUGUAGGCGGUUUUAUAAGUCUGAUGUGAAAGCCCUGGGCUCAACCCGGGAAGUGCAUUGGAUACUGUAAGACUUGAAUACGGGAGAGGGCAGUGGAAUUCCUAGUGUAGGAGUGAAAUCCGUAGAUAUUAGGAGGAACACCGGUGGCGAAGGCGGCUGCCUGGACCGAUAUUGACGCUGAGACGCGAAAGCGUGGGUAGCAAACAGGAUUAGAUACCCUGGUAGUCC
rnacentral:rRNA from 1 species